GCGCCUCCGGAGAGCUGCGAGGGUAAAGGCGGCGGCGGGGCCCCGACCGGCCCAGCCUCCGACCCGGGGGUUCUUGCCGUGGAGCCAGGCGCCCGGUUUCCCGCCAGCACGGCAGCCUCUCAGGCGGUGGCGGGGCCUCGUAGAAGGGAGAGGAUGGGGCUCAUCUGCGCUGGGUCUGCCGCCGCCCAGAGCCGCUGCAAAGCGAUGAGGCCGGGUGCACACUGUUGCUGAAAGGACAGGGUCGUGCACGCUCAUCCCUUACAAAAAAGGAACAGCUCAGAAAAACGAUUGGGCCAGCAGGCGCCAGAAGCUAGUGCUACUGCUUAAAGCUGGGCAGGAGGUUUACGGGGGUUUGUUCUAUGUUUUCGGGCUUGUUAAUAUUUCCUGAAUCUUGUUACUUGAGAACUUUUUUGUUUUGAUUUUGGAAGGAAAUAUUUGGGCAAACAGUCCAUGUGUAGUUCUCCAGUGUUACAGCAUAAUUCUGCUGCGAACAGCCCUGUCCUGUUAUUUGUUAAGGAAGGAUCAGCCGGGAUAACAGUGGCAGUUCGGGAAUGAAUACACAACUAGGAUUUUUGUAAUGAACGAAUAAAAAGAAUGAGAAAAUGAGAUUGCUGGUUAGAUACAGAAUUGGUGACUGACUAUUCUACUGUGCUAUGGAGCACAGCCUUGGUCUGAGUGGAAAGACAAAUUACCGAAGCUUAUCAGUGUCCUACAGGUUACCCUGUGACUCACAGAUUGAGAAGUGUUUGGGCCCAGUCAGUGUCUAAGUCCUGGAAGCAGGCUGUUGUGAGGUGAUAACACCGCAGGCAGUGGUGACUUCUGCGUCCUUUCUUGCUGGUCUAGGGUGAGAGGCAUGUGGUUGGGCCAAGGAGCAGAAAUAGACACAGAAGGAGAACUGGGCUCACCCCACAUUGCGCCUCUGUGGUGGCUGACUGCUGACUCAGGGGCUGCUCAGAGAGGCAGUGCAGCUCUGCAGGACCCCAGUGAGGGCAGUCCAGCUGGCCCCUGGCAGCUGCUGUGGGAGCCAGGCUUCCUCCCUCAGGCUUCGGCCAUUGGGUUGUGCUGACCUGGCUCCUCCCUCCCAGCUGUAGACCAGCCCUGUGGGCUGUGUGCACCUUGCCUGAGGGACCACACCAUCCCCAGGAGCUCUGAGCACUGUAUCUGAAUGAAUGGGGAUUAGUGGCACUGUUUGAGGGUAGUAAGUGACCGGUGUGUAAUCUGUUGUUUCUGAAUCUAGUGGCCCCUGCUCUGGGAGAGCUAGCAGGGCUUGCUGGGGUCCUGCCUUUGGCUUUCCUGCUUCUGUCCCCAUCACUGGCUGUUCUGUCUGAAGUUCUUCCUUCUGCAUAGAUACGGUCUUAUGGCUGAAAGGUAGCCUGAAGGCCUGGGGGCCAUUCUUCCUGGUAGCAGUGAAGCAGGCUAGUUAAAUAUGCCAGCAUAAAUACUUCAUUACUCUGUGUCUCUUAACUCCCAGUCACACACCAGGGCCCAGAGAGGUUAAGAAACUUAUUUUCUUAGCUUCUGUUAGCAAAAAACCAGAGAGAGCCCACUAAAUUCGGCUGUUCUGGAUGGCCUAGUCCUGGUGCUCUGGGGUCCCUCCCACCCCGACCAAACCAGACCCUUCCUAAGGAAGCACUGGUGCUGGCUGCUCUGGGAGAAGGGGUGUGGCCAUGCUCUUCAGAGCUGGGACCACCCCACCCGAGGCACAGGCUCCAUUGGCCAAGAGCAGGUUGAUUCAGUGGUGGCAAAGUGGCAACUGUGAGUCUGAUCUGGUGACUGACUGUGGACAGCACAAGAGACGUUUCGGAGCCUGCAUUUCGGCAGUACCCAGGCUGUGCUUCGUUUUGAGAAUUUGAGACUCUGGCUUCUGCAGUUUUACAAGCCAGUCAAGUCCGAACUUGGGUAAGUUUGACUACAUGAGCACACCUUAGCAUCUGCUUAUAUGUGGACAAAGAUCUCUUGAGUGCCUCUGUGGGCCAGGCAUUGUCACGCAGAGGGACACCUCGGCAUCAGUGAGAGCGUGCUGCUGAACAACUGGAGUGUUGUAGGAGGAGUAGUGGAGGAGACCCAGGGUGUGUCAGGAGCUUGCUGCAGAGGUGCUUUACCCUCGUGGUGAGACCCCGGCUAGGCUUACCUUUCCUCUGGCCUGGGUGGGGUGGGAGAGCAGAAAAGCCUGUGGGCGGAGGGCCUCUCUGCCUAGGGAAGUGGCUGUUCCCAGAGGACCAGGGGUGUGGCACAGUGCAAGAUGCAGAUGUUGAAAUGGAGCCCAGAAGAUGGGUGGCUUAUACCAGAUCUGUAGUCCCGGCUGGCUUUGGGGAGCCCUGCCAGGGUCUCAGCCUAGGAAAUAACAUGAGGAACAGGAGCACAGCUUCCUUGGGCAAGCUUCCGGUGUGAACUUUGAAAUGACAGUAAUGACCGUCUCCUGGCACGGAGGCAGGGUGGUCCUAAGUCAGGAAUAGGUAUGAGGCCUGCUUUCUGUGCUCUCCAAGUGAUUGGAGAAUAAGCAAAUAGGAAGUGAUUGUGAAUAGCAAAAACAAUUUUUAAAGCUGCAAGGAAAGAAUGGACUUCUGUUUUUACAUUGUUGCAGAGAUUUGUAUCAUUUCCAUGGAUGUUAAUUUUUUGAGUGGGUAAAACACCCAUAUGGC
rnacentral:lncRNA from 1 species